GAUGAACGCUGGCGGCGUGCCUAACACAUGCAAGUCGAGCGAAGCACUUACUUUAGUUUUCUUCGGAAUGACGAAGUUUGUGACUGAGCGGCGGACGGGUGAGUAACGCGUGGGCAACCUGCCCUGUACAGGGGGAUAACAGUUAGAAAUGACUGCUAAUACCGCAUAAGCCCACAGCUUCGCAUGAAGCAGUGGGAAAAACUCCGGUGGUACAGGAUGGGCCCGCGUCUGAUUAGCUAGUUGGUAAGGUAACGGCUUACCAAGGCGACGAUCAGUAGCCGAGCUGAGAGGGUGACCGGCGACAUUGAGACGGAGACACGGCCCAAACUCCUACGGGAGGCAGCAGUGGGGAAUAUUGCACAAUGGGGGAAACCCUGAUGCAGCGACGCCGCGUGAGCGAUGAAGUAUUUCGGUAUGUAAAGCUCUAGCAGCAGGGAAGAAAGUGACGGUACCUGACCAAGAAGCCCCGGCUAACUACGUG
rnacentral:rRNA from 1 species